UAGGGAGAGGUAUGGUACAGCAUUAGGGAGAGGUAUGGUACAGCAUUAGGGAGAGGUAUGGUACAGCAUUAGGGAGAGGUAUGGUACAGCAUUAGGGAGAGGUAUGGUACAGCAUUAGGGAGAGGUAUGGUACAGCAUUAGGGAGAGGUAUGGUACAGCAUUAGGGAGAGGUAUGGUACAGCAUUAGGGAGAGGUAUGGUACAGCAUUAGGGAGAGGUAUGGUACAGCAUUAGGGAGAGGUAUGGUACAGCAUUAGGGAGAGGUAUGGUACAGCAUUAGGGAGAGGUAUGGUACAGCAUUAGGGAGAGGUAUGGUACAGCAUUAGGGAGAGGUAUGGUACAGCAUUAGGGAGAGGUAUGGUACAGCAUUAGGGAGAGGUAUGGUACAGCAUUAGGGAGG